rnacentral:rRNA from 1 species
AACGAACGCUGGCGGCAUGCCUAACACAUGCAAGUCGAACGAGAUCUUCGGGUCUAGUGGCGCACGGGUGCGUAACGCGUGGGAAUCUGCCCUUUGGUUCGGAAUAACAGUUGGAAACGACUGCCAAUACCGGAUGAUGACGAAAGUCCAAAGAUUUAUCGCCAGAGGAUGAGCCCGCGUAGGAUUAGCUAGUUAGUGUGGUAAAGGCGCACCAAGGCGACGAUCCUUAGCCGGUCUGAGAGGAUGAUCAGCCACGCUGGGACUGAGACACGGCCCAGACUCCUACGGGAGGCAGCAGUGGGGAAUAUUGGACAAUGGGCGAAAGCCUGAUCCAGCAAUGCCGCGUGAGUGAUGAAGGCCUUAGGGUUGUAAAGCUCUUUUACCCGGGAUGAUAAUGACAGUACCGGGAGAAUAAGCUCCGGCUAACUCCGUGCCAGCAGCCGCGGUAA